CUCUGGUGAUUAGUGCAGUUCAGCACCUUUUCAGAUUCCUGUUGGCCAUUUGUGGAGUCUCACUCUGUAGCCCAAGCUGGAGUGGCGUGAUCUCGACUCACUGCAACCUCCGCCUCCUGGGAUCAAGUGAUUCUCGUGCCUCAGCCUCCUGAGUAGCCGGGACUACAGUUGUCCCUUGGUGUGGGAUUGCUUCCAGUACCUCUGUGUGUAACAAAAGCUGCACCAUUCAAGUCCCACAGUUGCCCUGCGAAACCUCUGUAUAUGAAAAGUUGGCCCUCCAUGUACAUGGGUUUCCCAUCCUGUCACAGAAUUUUCCACACUCCUUGACAGAGGUGCUUAACCCUUAUCCAUCAGCAUUCUCAGACAGCACCUCCGGUUAGGGACAGUAUCUGACCGUCCGACAUCCCUGCAGCCCCCAUGUGUCACACAGACUCAGCCUCAGGUAGAUGGUUUCCGUAGAUGGUGGCUUUCUUUGGACCCUUGACAUCAACCAGUUACUAUUUGACUCUUCUGCAGAACCCCAUGUUGACCCCUGCUUUGAGGUGGCAGAGUUAACACUACUCUUCGUUAUAAGCUCUCGUCUGGGGCAACUCAGAAGAACG
rnacentral:lncRNA from 1 species